rnacentral:rRNA from 1 species
AACAAACGCUGGCGGCGUGCCUAAUACAUGCAAGUCGAACGACGUAGCAAUACGGAGUGGCGCACGGGUGAGUAACGCGUGGGUAAUCUUCCUUUAAGCGUGGGAUAACCAGUCGAAAGACUGGCUAAUACCGCAUAAGACCACAGAAUCUGCGGAUUCAGGGGUCAAAGGUUUUUCGCUUUUAGAUGAGCCCGCGUAAGAUUAGCUAGUUGGUGAGGUAACGGCUCACCAAGGCAACGAUCUUUAACUGGUCUGAGAGGAUGAUCAGUCACACUGGAACUGAGACACGGUCCAGACUCCUACGGGAGGCAGCAGUAGGGAAUAUUGCACAAUGGAGGAAACUCUGAUGCAGCGACGCCCGCGUGAGUGAUGAAGGACUUCGGUUCGUAAAGCGUCUGUUGCAAGGGAAAAAGCAAGUGAUUGUACCUUGCGAGGAAGGGUCGGCGUAAAUUCGUGCCAGCAGCCGCGGUAAU